GGUAUUUAUGUCAGUCGAAACACAUAUAUUCGUGCAGGAAUAGCUGAGUGGAAGAUCACUAAUCCAGUUCAUCUUGUGUGUUACUAUCGCUAUAUGAGAUUUUAUCCUUCUGGCAGGUUCCUUUAUAAGAAUUCAUCACAAAAAGUCAAAGAUGUAGCGAAGUACCUGAACUUCCGUGCCUCAAAAGCUGAUUGUGUUUUUAAGGGGAAUUACACUCUAUCAGAGGAUAAAGUUGAAGCUGCUCUUUUGUACCCGGGAAUGCGUCCAACUGUGUUGAGAUUCCGCUUAAGGUUGAGGGGUACAACCCAAGGUGCUAAUAACAGAAUGGAUCUACUUGCUCUUCUUACAAGUGGCGUGAAUGAUAAUGAGGUUAAUGGCCCGGAUGAAGACAUUCUUGGAGUUGUCGAGAGGUGGGAAGAGGAUGAAACACAUAACCCAGAUGUUCCAGCAAUUUCACACAAGAGGGGUCUAACACCUUUUGUCUUUGUUUCAUUUGAGGAGGUGGAAACUUCAGUUCUAAAUCUCCCAGUGGAAAAAAUGGAUUAUUAUGUUCCUGGUUAAGAACUGGAUCAAACAGACAAUCCAUUGGUUGUAAAUGUGUAACAUUGUUGUUUGUAACUCUUUUAUUUUUGGCAUGGCAUCUUAGAAUCGGGAAGUUUUCAAUGUGUUGUGAACAGGAAAUGGUCUCUCUACCUCCACGAGGUAGUGGUAAGGUCUGCGUUCAUCCUCCAUAUACUUUGCUUGUGGGACUUAUGAGAUUUCAAUGGGUAUGUUGUUGUCGUAAACAAGAUCCUAUCGAGCAAUAGAAGACCAGUAUAAUACCGGUCUUCUGCGUGUGUAUUGUAUGGCAGUUUGAAUAUGUUCCAAGUUGGAAUCUGUUUGCCG
rnacentral:misc_RNA from 1 species